rnacentral:rRNA from 1 species
AUGACAAUACACCCAUAUAUUCUAGCUAACAAUCAGAAACUGUAUCCAAAUGGAGGGGACACUCUUCCUUCAGAAAGAUGCCUUCGAAAGAAAAGCUCUUCCCCUCAACGACACAGCACAUUUUCUCAAAUGUUCCACGUUUCUCACCAUAUCCUCAUAGGGUUGAAGCACAAGAAAGAGGAUUACUUGGUUACCUUGCUUCCCUCACCUAGGACAGUAGAAGGAUCUGUGGCUGAAGGCGCCACAAACGAAGCGGGUCGCCUCUUUUCUGCAGAUCUCCGCAAGAUGACCCUUCUCCCCGCAACGAUAGCACAUAACGUUUUUCCCAUGCUUGCGCGGUGA